rnacentral:rRNA from 1 species
CAGCCGCCGCGGGAAUACGUAGGUGGCAAGCGUUGUCCGGAAUUAUUGGGCGUAAAGCGCGCGCAGGUGGUUUAAUAAGUCUGAUGUGAAAGCCCACGGCUCAACCGUGGAGGGUCAUUGGAAACUGUUAAACUUGAGUGCAGGAGAGAAAAGUGGAAUUCCUAGUGUAGCGGUGAAAUGCGUAGAGAUUAGGAGGAACACCAGUGGCGAAGGCGGCUUUUUGGCCUGUAACUGACACUGAGGCGCGAAAGCGUGGGGAGCAAACAGGAUUAGAUACCCCCGUAGUCCCUGUCUCUUAUAC